GAUGAAGAACGUAGCGAAAUGCGAAAAGUAAUGUGAAUUGCAGAAUUCAGUGAAUCAUCGAAUCUUUGAACGCACAUUGCGCCCGCCAGUAUUCUGGCGGGCAUGCCUGUCCGAGCGUCAUUUCAACCCUCAAGCCCCCGGGCUUGGUGUUGGGGAUCGGCGAGCCUCCGCGCCCGCCGUCCCCUAAAUCUAGUGGCGGUCUCGCUGUAGCUUCCUCUGCGUAGUAGCACACCUCGCACUGGGAAACAGCGCGGCCACGCCGUUAAACCCCCAACUUCUGAACGUUUGACCUCGGAUCAGGUAGGAAUACCCGCUGAACUUAAGCAUAUCAAUAAGCGGAGGA
rnacentral:misc_RNA from 1 species